rnacentral:lncRNA from 1 species
CACAGACUCAUACCAAAGCCAGCAGGGAGAAGUCUAAGAGACAAAAUCAAUAAGGCUAGAGAAGAUUGGCUUUCUCUGGAUACUGUACCUUAUCCAUGUGAACAGGAGAUUUUAUAGUGACUUGUUUCAGUAUAAACAAAGAGGACUGGAAUAACUGAUUGCUGAGGACUCCAAUCAUGGCAGCACUGUAUGAUAUGAAUGUAAAAUAAGCAUGACUGACUGCAACAAGAAGGCAGCCUGAAUCUACCUGAAGAAUCCUCAGGCCAUCCGAUUUGAUGAUAUAGUCAGUAGGAUUGUUUGGUUUGCUAGUAACAUAAAUUCAAAGCUUCAGGAAGGAGACUGGGCACAGCGGCUCAUGCCUGUAAUCCCAGCACUUUGGGAGGCCAAGGCGAGUGGAUCAUUUGAGGCCAGCAGUUCUAGACCAGCCUGGCCAAUAUGGUGAAACGCCGUCUCUACUAAAAAUACAAAAAUCAGCUGGGCAUGGUGGCACAUGCUUAUAAUCCCAUCUACUCAGGAGGCUGAGGCAUAAGAAUCGCUUGAACCCAAGAGGUGGAGGUUGCAGUGAGCCAAGAUUGUGCCACUAUACUCCAGCCUGGGUGACAGAGCAAGACUCUGUCUCAAACAAAACAAAACAAAACAAAACAAAACAAAACAAAAACAACAAAACACACACACACAAACACCAAAGCUUCAGGAAAAAAAAGGCAGACUAAAUUAUAUGGUAAGUAGGCUGUUUCAUUGAACUGAAAUGCAAAAGUAAACCGGAGAUGUAAGUUGUCACAAGAUCUCUCUUCUUGGUUCUCUUUCCACUGCUCAAUCCAUACAGUGAGUAAAAUUUUACGUCUUAACUCUCUCCUGCUCCUCAUUCCUAGCUUGGCCCACUCAAGACCAGACUUGAAUUAAACAUCAAAAUCAUGGUUUCUAGAGCCCCAGUUUCUGGAUGAGAUAGGGUAGAGGAAUGACAGAGAAUGAUUCCCAGAGAAAGGGGUGUUGUUUGUUAAAGGCAAAACAUGCUUGCAAUAGACAUAGAAAACUUUGGAGAGGGACAGUCUAUGGUAGUUAUUUAAGAAGAGUUACUUAGUAUUUCAUGAAUUAUGAGUCAGACUUUUUGAGUCAAACUUAUGUUAAGAGAGGGUUUCAUUUAUGACAAGCAAUAGUUGGCAUUGUUUAAUCCUGUGGUAUAGUAGAAAGAACAGCUUUGAAAUUUGAUAGGCCUAGCUUUCAAUGUAAGUUCUGCCACUUCUGGCUGAGUUUCACUGGAUAAGUGAUUUAACCUUUCUGUAAAAUGGGCAUAAUAAUAAUGCCCACCUUGUAAAGUUGCUUUGAGAAUUAAAGACAGAUGUACAAGAAUUGAGCACACUGGUACAUAAUUUUUUCUUCCUGCCCUUUUCCAGGGUUCAAAGGUGAAGUGGCAUAAUAAAUUAGAGAGGGGUGGAGAGGAAGAUUAAACCAGAUUUAGAAGUGUUGCAGUCUGGCACUGAGAUCUCUAGCUGUGGGGUCUUAGGCAAGUUACCGUAUCUCACUGUUUUUCAGUUUCCUGACAAACAAAAAAAAAGAGGUUCAGGACCGGGGGUUUCUAUUGCUUUUGGGAGGCCAAGGGUUCCCUAGAAGUGCUUAGGUAUUGCUGAGUGUGUGUGUGUGUGGUAGGAGGUAGUAUGGGGGGAGGAUAAAUAGCAAGGAAAGUACCAUUUGGUAGAAUUUCUCCUACCUCCCACCCCUCUUUUAAAAAUCUGUUUUAUAAAUUGAGGUUUUGUGUCAGAUUUGUAUUGGGGAAAGAAAAGGUUUGCUGUUUAAAAAAUUAAAAAGCAUCUUGAAAAAUACCAGAUGAGAUGCUCUCUCAAGUCUUUCUUGCUCUAAAACAUGAGGCUCUGCUAAAUGCCUUCCAUUGUUAAGGCCGAGCUACCCCCAGAGCCAGAGGCAGCCUGGACAUUUUCAGCAACCCAUUAAGUCAUCUAUUCUGGGACAGCAGGAAAAACAAACCCUACAAAGGGCAGUGGCUAAAACAGAAAGAGAGAGAGACUCAUCCAGCUUGUCCAGAAAACAAACCCAACACAUCCUCUCAAGAUGCAUCCUUAAUAUAAUAUAGGAAAUGUCAUCAGGACCAUAAAGUUGUCUCUUUCAAAGUGGAUGAACAACCCGGCGUUGCUUAGAUGACAGCUUAGGGUUUCCCGGCUUCAACAGAGGACAGCUCAAGAGCCCAAAGCUGUCCUAAGUGGUCACCCUUACUAAAACAGUUGGCCCUGUGUGGUAACUGUGAAAACAUCUAUGUCUGUCAUAAGCCCCACCGAUGAUGGAUGAGUCUAAACAGAAGAUAUUCACAGGGGAAUAAGGGAUCUAGCUUGGGCAUUUUGUGCUCUGUUGAGCUAGGUAGGAAGCAGAAUGAAAAGCAGAUUAUUCUCUUGAUAAGAAAUGCAUUCUUAGAGCAACAACCACACGAGGAAAAGAAAGGCUCCAUUAUUUCUGUAAAGGAAGAUCACACACAGAUAAUUUAUAUAUUGAAGUCAGGUAUGCUGGAAGGCACCUUAAAGAUAAUCCAGUCUGGUAGUUUUCAAACUUUUUUGGAGUAGGUUUUCUAGCAGAAAGCUUAAAAAUGGGAUACAUUCAAAAAGUUUCACCAGAACAUUAAUUCAGGUUGAAGUAGGAAUGAGGGACUCAGCCCUGCCUGAUCUAUGCAACCACCUCCUUCUCUACCAUAACAUCCCUUGUAGGACAGACUCUCAAGACACCUCCAUGAAUCUUUGAGGGCUCCCAGGAACAGUUUAAAAAUCACUCAUUAGUCCUACCUUCCCUAUUUACAGAUGACAAAACUAAGCACAGAGAGGCCAAGUGAUCUGCCCAGAAUUCCAGGCAUACUGAAAAGGGAGACCAAAGCUAAAGCCAGGCCUCCUGAUGUCAAGCUCAGUGUUCUCAUUAUUAUAUAACAUGGGAUCAUUCCCAGAAGAUUUUUGAAACCACCUGCGGUCACCUCUUAGGAGUCACAUAGUUGGAUAUAAACUGCUUAAAGUCUCUGUGAAGUUUCUUUCUUUGCUUGUCUAAAGAAUUUCUGGAAGGAAGGAAGGAAUGGAAGAAGGGAGGAAGGGAGGUAGGGAGGCAUGCAGGGAGGAAGGGAG